UACGGAGGGUCCAAGCGUUACUCGGAAUUACUGGGCGUAAAGCGCAUGUAGGCGGCUCGCUAAGUUUGGUGUGAAAGCCCGGAACUCAAUUCCGGAAGUGCAUCGAAUACUGACGAGCUAGAGUAUAGGAGAGGUGAGUGGAAUUUCUGGUGUAGAGGUGAAAUUCGUAGAUAUCAGAAGGAACAACAGAGGCGAAGGCGACUCACUGGACUAUAACUGACGCUGAGAUGCGAAAGCGUGGGGAGCAAACAGG
rnacentral:rRNA from 1 species